GAGAAAGUGUGAGGCAAUGCAGGUACUGUAGCCCGCUCAUAAGGUCUGCAUAAAUAAGCUCGGGAGGCGUGAGUGGUACCAGUCAUCCCGUGAACACCAGCGAGUGACAACCUACUGUGCUCUUUGUCCUGCUCCAUUUCUUAGCUUUUGCGCUACACAAUGGCCGCUCAGGGAAUCACCAUCGCCACCCUCCUCUUCGCCCUGGCCGCCCUCACGCAGGCAGCCGACACGACACCCAAAAACGACCCACGACUCUUCAGCGACAACGACACCACCGUCAGCAUCGGCGGCCAGAGCCUCCUCUACAUCGCGAUCCUCAUCGUCGGUCUGGU
rnacentral:lncRNA from 1 species